GAUGAACGCUGGCGGCGUGCCUAAUACAUGCAAGUCGAGCGAACAGACGAGGAGCUUGCUCCUCUGAUGUUAGCGGCGGACGGGUGAGUAACACGUGGAUAACCUACCUAUAAGACUGGGAUAACUUCGGGAAACCGGAGCUAAUACCGGAUAACAUGUUGAACCGCAUGGUUCAACAGUGAAAGACGGUCUUGCUGCCACUUAUAGAUGGAUCCGCGCCGCAUUAGCUAGUUGGUAAGGUAACGGCUGACCAAGGCAACAAAGCGUAGCCGACCUGAGAGGGUGAUCGGCCACACUGGAACUGAGACACGGUCCGGACUCCUACGGGGGGCAGCAGUAGGGAAUCUUCCGCAAUGGGCGAAAGCCUGACGGAGCAACGCCGCGUGAGUGAAGAAGGUCUUCGGAUCGUAAAACUCUGUUAUUAGGGAAGAACAAAUGUGUAAGUAACUAUGCACGUCUUGACGGUACCUAAUCAGAAAGCCACGGCUAACUACGUG
rnacentral:rRNA from 1 species